GAUGAACGCUGGCGGCGUGCCUAAUACAUGCAAGUCGAGCGAACAGAUAAGGAGCUUGCUCCUUUGACGUUAGCGGCGGACGGGUGAGUAACACGUGGGUAACCUACCUAUAAGACUGGGAUAACUUCGGGAAACCGGGGCUAAUACCGGAUAAUAUUUCGAACCGCAUGGUUCGAUAGUGAAAGAUGGUUUUGCUAUCACUUAUAGAUGGACCCGCGCCGUAUUAGCUAGUUGGUAAGGUAACGGCUUACCAAGGCGACGAUACGUAGCCGACCUGAGAGGGUGAUCGGCCACACUGGAACUGAGACACGGUCCAGACUCCUACGGGAGGCAGCAGUAGGGAAUCUUCCGCAAAGGGCGAAAGCCUGACGGAGCAACGCCGCGUGAGUGAUGAAGGUCUUCGGAUCGUAAAACUCUGUUAUUAGGGAAGAACAUACGUGUAAGUAACUGUGCACGUCUUGACGGUACCUAAUCAGAAAGCCACGGCUAACUACGUG
rnacentral:rRNA from 1 species